UGGGGAAUAUUGCACAAUGGGCGCAAGCCUGAUGCAGCCAUGCCGCGUGUAUGAAGAAGGCCUUCGGGUUGUAAAGUACUUUCAGCGGGGAGGAAGGCGAUAAGGUUAAUAACCUUGUCGAUUGACGUUACCCGCAGAAGAAGCACCGGCUAACUCCGUGCCAGCAGCCGCGGUAAUACGGAGGGUGCAAGCGUUAAUCGGAAUUACUGGGCGUAAAGCGCACGCAGGCGGUCUGUCAAGUCGGAUGUGAAAUCCCCGGGCUCAACCUGGGAACUGCAUUCGAAACUGGCAGGCUAGAGUCUUGUAGAGGGGGGUAGAAUUCCAGGUGUAUCGGUGAAAUGCGUAGAGAUCUGGAGGAAUACCGGUGGCGAAGGCGGCCCCCUGGACAAAGACUGACGCUCAGGUGCGAAAGCGUGGGGAGCAAACA
rnacentral:rRNA from 1 species